AAGCGAGAAGCAAACAUUGCAGUCAGUUUCGACCUGAUCUUAGAUAAAAACACUUAUCCCCGCUUU
rnacentral:tRNA from 1 species